rnacentral:rRNA from 1 species
GACGAACGCUGGCGGCGUGCUUAACACAUGCAAGUCGAACGAUGAAGAAAAGAAUUGAAGCUUCGGCAGAAAUUCAUUUCGGAUUAGUGGCAGACGGGUGAGUAACGCGUGAGCAACCUACCCCUUACAAAGGGAUAGCCUCGGGAAACCGGGAUUAAUACCAUAUAACAUUGCGACGAAGCAUUUCGAUGCAAUCAAAGCUACGGCGGUAAGAGAUGGGCUCGCGUCCCAUUAACCAGAUGGUGAGGUAACGGCUCACCAUAGUAACGAUGGGUAACCGGCCUGAGAGGGUGAACGGUCACACUGGAACUGAGACACAGUCCAGACUCCUACGGGAGGCAGCAGUGGGGAAUAUUGCACAAUGGAGGGAACUCUGAUGCAGCGACGCCGCGUGAGUGAUGAAGGAAUUCGUUUCGUAAAACUCUGUUCUAUGGGAAGAAAAGGACUGUACCAUAGGAGAAAGCUCCGGCUAAAUACGUG